rnacentral:misc_RNA from 1 species
GGCUAGCGAAGGGGAUAUCGUAAGUACUCAACCAGUGAUAAACUCCAGAAGGGGGUUAAAUACACAACGUGAUCUAUCGAAAAACAACCUCCAAUUAAAAAAAAAUCAUAUGUAAAGAACCAAGAGACUAUAGACCAUCUUGUUUACUCUUGAACUCAGCUGAAAAAUUAUAUUCAGGUCUCACAAAACUGUCCCGGAAUCUUUAAACAAUCUGAGGAACGUCUUUA